AAUGAGAACGAGCAAACCACGCUCUGGACAAGCGCUGCGCGCCCAUGAGUCCUUGUGGUCUACUGUUCCACACUCCAGUCCAGUAGGUGGCGGAAAUUCAAGUUGGUUUGCCAACCGCCAAUAAACACCAUUGAAGAAGAAGAAGAACACAUCUCUUUCCCCCACACAUCUGGACCGUUGAACGUGUGAUCGACCCAAACAACGACAAAAUGCCGUCCUGUGCUGCCAUCAACUGCAGCAAUCGAUCAGAUGGCAAAGGACCAAAAUUGUAUAGAUUUCCUUUGGGUGAUGUUAAGAGGCUGCGACGCUGGUUGGACAAUGUGAGGCGGAAGUCUUGGGCACCAAAUGAAAACUCCAGGCUGUGUGCACUGCACUUUGAAGAGAAGUGCUUCGUUUUGAGCGGUAGAGGAAAGUGCCUCUCUUCAACAGCUGUGCCCACUAUCUUUGACUACUCACUAGAAAGUAAGGGAUUGUCAGCCCCCCACAAAGUAAGUGCAAGACAGGCACAUGUCACUGAUCACUGUUACACACAAAAACACACACCAAAUGUGGCAGAGGUCUGUGAUAGAGACAGUGUCAUUGUGAUACAGGAUUCAUCCAAAAGCCAGAUUGUGUCUGAUGUCCUGCGUCACAAUUACACUCAAAAACCAGUAGAAAGUAUCAAAGAGGAAAUUGAAGAGCCAAAUCAAGACACAAGUGCAUCAGUGGAAACUACAACCACAGAGCACAACUAUAUUGUGAGGGAACCCCCAAAAUCACUAAAACGGAGGUGUUCAAUGGAGGAGAAAUUAGAAAUUUGUCGAAAAAAAUUGAAACUGGAAAAAGAAAAAACAAAAAGACUCAUGCAAAGAGUAGAUACCCUGGCAAAGGUCAUCCGCACCCUGAAACAGAAAAAAGCCUGAUUUCUUCUGGAUGUGAAGAAAUGUUAGAGAAUUCCUUUGGUGGAGUUCCUAAGGAAAUCCUCAUCAGAGUGGAGCAUGGAAAGAGGUCCAAAGUGUCAGAUGAAUUGUGAUCAUUUGCAAUGAUUCUGCACUUCUAUUCCGCCAAAGCUUAUGCUUAUGUGCGUGAAUGUUUUGACCUUACUUUGCCCCAUCCUGAUACCAUCCGGACCUGGUACAGCAACGUCUCUGCAGACCCAGGAUUUACCAAGGCAUCAUUUUCUGCAUUACAGGCUUAUGUAGAGGACAGGAAAAAAGAGGGCAGGGAAACAAUUUGUGAUGAUGGAUGAAAUGGCCAUCAGAAAGCAUGUGGAAUAUUCUGCAGGGAAAUUCCACGGAUAUGUAGAUCUUGGCUGUGGCACAGUUGGUGACAGCUUGCCACCAGCAAGAGAUGCAUUAGUUAUCAUGGCUGUUGCUGUUGAUCAAUCCUGGAAAAUCCCUGUGGCAUAUUUCUUAGUCGAUGCACUGACUGGGGAGGAGCGCGCAAACAUCAUCAUGCGACGGACCAUCUUGUCAUUUUGCCAUGUUAAGAGCACUAGGUGCUGAUUUAAAUGUAAAUUCAAUGAGGCCCUCAUUUCCUCAUCCUGCUGAUACCUCUCAAGUUGUUCAUGUGGUUUUGGAUGUGUGCCACAUUAUGAAGCUGCUCAGGAACACACUGGCUGAUGCAGCUUCACUACAAACGCCAUCAGGUACAAUCAAGUGGCAGUACAUUGUGGAGUUAAACAAACUUCAAGAGGCAGAAGGACUGAGAUUAGGAAACAAACUGAAGAUGGCUGUUACGUGCCACAGAGGUUGGGUUCUCUGUGUCUCUGCAUUUCCCUUCCACCUUUUCCUCCCCUCCCUACCACUCAUUCUCUGCAGGUCUGAGGUCCAUAACCAUAGACAUAUAUAAAGGCUAGAUGACUCGUCCGCG